GAUGAACGCUGGCGGCGUGCCUAAUACAUGCAAGUCGAACGUGAGCCUUGUUUUCGGACGAGGUGAAAGUGGCGCACGGGUGAGUAACACGUAGCUGACCUGCCCUUCAGAGGGGGACAACUGCUGGAAACGGCAGCUAAUACCCCAUACGCUCACCGGGAUUAGCAGGCGGUGAGGAAAAGCUGAGGUGCUGAGGGAGGGGGCUGCGGCCCAUCAGCUAGUUGGCAGGGUAACGGCCUACCAAGGCGACGGACGGGUAGGGGGCCUGAGAGGGUCGACCCCCCACACUGGGACUGAGAGACGGCCCAGACUCCUACGGGAGGCAG
rnacentral:rRNA from 1 species